UUGAAAAAUUGUAAAGGAGGGUUGAGCUGGUCCUUUCGGGGACAUGUGCACGCUCUUCUUUCAAUCUUCAUCCACCUGUGCACUUUUUGUAGAGAGUUUGAGAAACAUGGGCCUUUUAACUAGGGUUCCUAAGUACUGAGCUCUCUAUGUCUUUAUAAACUCUGAAUGUAUGUCUUUGAAUGUCUUUACAAGGGACUUAACUGGACCUUUUAAAAACUAUA
rnacentral:misc_RNA from 1 species